AAAUUGAAGAGUUUGAUCAUGGCUCAGAUUGAACGCUGGCGGCAGGCCUAACACAUGCAAGUCGAACGGUAACAGGAAGCAGCUUGCUGCUUUGCUGACGAGUGGCGGACGGGUGAGUAAUGUCUGGGAAACUGCCCGAUGGAGGGGGAUAACUACUGGAAACGGUAGCUAAUACCGCAUAACGUCGCAAGACCAAAGAGGGGGACCUUAGGGCCUCUUGCCCUCGGAUGUGCCCAGAUGUGAUUAGCUAGUAGGUGGGGUAAUGGCUCACCUAGGCGACGAUCCCUAGCUGGUCUGAGUGGAUGACCAGCCACACUGGAACGG
rnacentral:rRNA from 1 species